rnacentral:rRNA from 1 species
GACAGAGGGUGCAAGCGUUGUUCGGAAUCAUUGGGCGUAAAGGGCGCGUAGGCGGUCAUGCAAGUCAACUGUGAAAGCCCAGGGCUCAACCUUGGAAGUGCAGCUGAAACUACAUGACUAGAGUCUCGGAGAGGGCGGUGGAAUUCCCAGUGUAGAGGUGAAAUUCGUAGAUAUUGGGAGGAACACCGGUGGCGAAGGCGACCGCCUGGACGAUGACUGACGCUGAGGCGCGAGAGCGUGGGGAGCAAACAGG